CGACGCUUGUGUUCUUGAUCCUGUGUGCACGUGUAUAACAUCGGGGUCCCAAGUGGAUUUCGAUGGAUGUCAGUGCCUUUGCCCAGCUACAGGACUUCUUGUCGAUGGUCACUGCGCAGUUGGUGCCUGUGCAUUGAUAAGCUGAAGCUGCAUACAGAAGAAGCACUGCAGACUCAGGACAUCAUCAAAAACAGAAAAAGGAGUGGAAAAGAAGCAUUGCUGCAAACUCACUCAAACAUCAACUUAAAGCUCAAACUACAAAUGAGGAAACAGAAGGAAACCCAGUUAAGUGACUUACCCAAGGUCACAUAGCUGAGCUAUCCCUGAUUACAAAGAACAAGAGGAAAAUUGGGUUCUGUAUCCAUAUUCCCCCACCUCUGCAAAGAAGCAAGGGAAGGUACCUUCUCUGCUUGGAGCUACACUAUAAUUUACCAGCAUUUAAGUUUUGUUAGUUUUUUGCCAGUAUCCUUUCCAUUUAUAUUAUUAUAGUCAUGCAUAUCUUUUGCUGGUUCAGCCUACUUUGAUCAGUUCCCAUAAGUCUUUGCAUGCUAUUUUUAAUUUUCAUAAUCUCUUAAAGUACAAUAAAAGUCCAACACAUUCAUAUAGCA
rnacentral:lncRNA from 1 species